CCUACGGGAGGCAGCAGUGAGGAAUAUUGGUCAAUGGACGAGAGUCUGAACCAGCCAAGUAGCGUGAAGGAUGACUGCCCUAUGGGUUGUAAACUUCUUUUAUAUGGGAAUAAAGUGUUCCACGUGUGGGAUUUUGUAUGUACCAUAUGAAUAAGGAUCGGCUAACUCCGUGCCAGCAGCCGCGGUAAUACGGAGGAUCCGAGCGUUAUCCGGAUUUAUUGGGUUUAAAGGGAGCGUAGGUGGAUUGUUAAGUCAGUUGUGAAAGUUUGCGGCUCAACCGUAAAAUUGCAGUUGACACUGGGAGUCUUGAGUACAGUAGAGGUGGGCGGAAUUCGUGGUGUAGCGGUGAAAUGCUUAGAUAUCACGAAGAACUCCGAUUGCGAAGGCAGCUCACUGGACUGCAACUGACACUGAUGCUCGAAAGUGUGGGUAUCAAACAGGAUUAGAUACCCCUGUAGUC
rnacentral:rRNA from 1 species